GAUGAAGAACGUAGCGAAAUGCGAUAAGUAAUGUGAAUUGCAGAAUUCAGUGAAUCAUCGAAUCUUUGAACGCACCUUGCGCUCCUUGGUAUUCCGAGGAGCAUGCCUGUUUGAGUGUCAUUAAAUUCUCAACCUCACCAACUUUUGUUGUGUGAAGGCUUGGAUGUGGAGGCUGCAGGUCCGCUAACGCGGUCUGCUCCUCUGAAAUGUAUUAGUGGGUUUGGUCCCCUAAUCUAUUGGUGUGAUAAUUAUCUACGCCGUGGAUCAAGGGACUGAUAGAGCCUGCUUCUAACCGUCCCUAACAAGGACAAUUCUUGACAAUUUUGACCUCAAAUCAGGUAGGACUACCCGCUGAACUUAAGCAUAUCAAUAAGCGGAGGA
rnacentral:misc_RNA from 1 species